GAACCCAUUGGUUUCUGUAUGAUCACCGAAGUUAAGCAAUGUUGAGCAUCGUCAGUAAUUGGAUGGGUGACUGCUUGGGAAUAUUAGGUGCUGUAAG